UCUUCAAAACCCGUGACAUGUAUAAAAUUUAAUUUUUGCAUAAGACCACACUCAAUUUAAUUUUCUCAUGGGAAACAAACUUAAAAACCAAAUCAUAGUAAAUAUAAAAGUGAACCACCAUAUAAUGGACAAAUAUCAAUGUAGUUGACAAUUUUUCCAACAUUAUAAACCUUAUAUUAAGAUUUAUAAUUUUGCUCAUUAUUUCAAGUGUUGGGUGUUAUCACUAUGUAUUAUAUAAAGCUGAAAAAACUAAUAUGACAUGUUGUAUUGGAUUGAUAUGCACCACCACCCAAUUAUAUUCACACCAAGCAUGCUCCAUUUUUCUCUUUUAAAUGGCCCUGAAAUAACCAAAUCAAUAAAUGUAAUUCCUAAUAGCCAUUCUUUCUUUGUGACAUUUCUAAAUAAGACAUCAUUCACAAUGCUUCAUCACAAAAGACUAUGAGAUAAUUUCUACUUACAAUUCAAUCAAAUUGUGAUGAUCCAAAAGACCAUGGUACAAUUGAAGUUGUUCGAAAUCCUUAGCAUAUAAGCUUUGAUAACCUUUAUGACAAAGAAAAUGGAUAAUCACGAUGAUUUAGAUAUAGUGAUACAACUUAGCAUUAUUAACAAAUCCAAAUUAGAGUUUACCUUUGUAAAAUGCAUCAUAUGAUUACUAUCAAGGUACUUAUUAUGGACACAUGAANNNNNNNNNNNNNNNNNNNNNNNNNNNNNNNNNNGAUUAGGGAAUCUAGAUUCAGGAAAAAAAACCUUUAAUAUAUAGGAAGAAGGUUAUUAUUUGAGAAUAUAUAGGUUACUAUUCCUAAUUUGGGACAAAGGAGUACUAUAUGUUAUUAUUUGAAAGAAUGUUACUAUUUGUAAUUUGGGACAAAUGAGUGCUAUUUGGGACAUAUGAGUACUAUUCAAAAUAUAGGUAUAGGUAGGAGGAAUGAUUGCAUGAUAAGAAUUUUGUGAAUGACAUGAUAGCAAGUUCCAAGAAUACAUGUAAUCAAUAGAAUUGAUAAAGAAGUCAUGCCAAUAGAAUUCAUAACAAUGAAAUCAUUGCAUCAUGUGAAUGACACAUAAACAACUAACAUAUGAAAGCUGAGAAAGUAAAGGAACAAAAGACAACAUGUUGUCUACAAAUUUUAGGGAAUGAACAUAUUGAAAAAAAUUUAGUAUAAAUUGCUAAACAUAAAUUCAAAUUAAAAAAUGCUACAUAAAAAAAAUAGACUAAUUACUUAAAAGAAAAUUUAAAAUAUAAUUUAUUAAUCAUAAGUUACAAUGAUGGUAAAAUUAGUGUGAAUGUAGUUUUAGGAGGAGUUGGUUUACAUAGGGUUAAUGAAUUCAUCUAUGAAGACACUUAUUCAUUGGCAUACAUGCAUGAUGCCACUUGUCUCUUGACUUCUUUACACAUGUCAAAUGGAGCAAGAAAUAGAGAUAAUAGGUAUAAUCAUUAUAUGAUAGCUAGUAAUAGGGAUAAUCAUGAUAGGAAUAGCUAGUAAUAGAUAUAAUGAUGAUAGAGAAGCAAUGAUGGCAUUAUAUGAUCAUGAAAGGAAGGUUGCAUGUGAUGUUAGAAAGAUGUGGUAGAUUAAUCACCUAAUUAUUGAAUGAAGGAUAUCAAGAUGAGAUAUUGAGAACAUGUAAACUUGCUCACAUUAUUUGCAGCUUCNNNNNNNNNNNNNNNNAUCUUGCCAUUUAAGAAAGUAAACAAAAAAUUGGAAUCAACACAAUGAAGCUAAGUGAAAAUAUCAAAGUAAAUUAAAACAUUUCAUAUAAUUGAAAACACUUUUGACAAAAGGAAUCAAGAUUAUUCUUUAAAAUCAGUUUUUCUGCACAAACAUAGCAACAACACCUUAACUUUCGCAGUUUAAUUAAAAUACCAAACGAUAUCCGUUUUGAGUAAACGACCACUCGUUGGAAAGAUUAGGAUGUCAAGAUUACAGAUAUAAUUUUUGUUAUAAGUGUUAACCAUCCAAUUGGUCCAGUUUAACAAAAGAUUGGGUAUUGGUACAGAAACAGAUUUUUCUGCACAACCAUAGCAACAACACCUUAACUUUGGCAACUUAAUUAAAAUACCAAACGAUAUCCGUUUUGAGUAAACGACCACUCUUUUGAAAGUUUAGGAUGUCAAGAUUACAAAUAUAAUUUUUGUUUUGAGGUUUAACCAUCCAAUUGGUCCAGUUUAACAAAAGAUUGGGUAUCGGUGCAGAAACAGGACUAAAACUAUACUCAAACUUGUAGGUAGCUUUUCUCCUAUUAUACUUAUGGGAAUUUAACAUUUUCGGUGACUAAAUUGUAGGAAAUUUUGUCUUCUUUGUAGUGGAUUAAAAAUAUUUAGCAUAUGACCUAUAUUCAGAGAGUUAUACUAAAUUUACCACAUGUAUGUCUACACAAAUUUCACCUAAAUAUUUCUUCUUUUACAUGAACUUGCAGCCUAAACAUAUACUGUCCAUUUUAACUUAUAAAAUUUCUUUUGUCCAUCUUCUAGGGUCUUAGGGUUUGGUAUAAAAGAGAAAGAAUAAAAAGAGAAGGUUGGUUUGUCUUACCUUAGUUUUUCCAACACCCAAAAGCUUGAANNNNNNNNNNNNNNNNNNAGUUUUUCCAACACCCAAAAACUUGAAUCUAGGAGAAUUUCAUACAUGCAAAACUGAAGUUGAAAAAUAUAAAUUUGAGAGACUGAAAUUUGUUCAUAAAUCUGCAGAUUCAUCAAAUGAACUUAAACAAAUCAAUCAAGAAAAACAUAUCAAUCAAUAAGAAAUUGCAUACCCAAAAAAUUCAUAAAAAAAAAAAGAAUAAAAAUUGACCUUGUUGUUGACUAUGAUCCAUCAAUCUUUCUUGUGAUUGUGUUUAGCCAGAUCCUCAAAGGUUAAAAUCUUUGAUGUUGAACUCAUCUUCUUUUACUGCAAAAUCAUAAUAAUCAUUAUUGUUAUUAUUAAAAUUAAUCGAAUAACCCAUUCCCAAACCAAAACACAAUCUUCAAUCAAUAAAACAAACACCAAACAGAACAACUAAAAUAAAACAAACAAAGCAGAAAAUUGAUAGGGGAAGAACAGACAAAAAAAAACGAAAAAAAAUAAAGAAAGAAGCAAAACAGAUCGAACCAGAUGAAAGAAGCUCCGGCGGCGACGGUGGCCGGCGAUGGCUCGCCGGAAUCUGGGGAUGGGUGGUGGUGUUCUUGUUGUUCUUCAUGAUGUUCAUGAAGAUGGUGAGAAAAUAGAGAGAGAUAGUAGGGAGAAAAGAGAGAAGAGAGAGAAAGAAAUUUGAGAAAUAAAGAAAGUAGGAGAAAAGGAAAUAUAUAUUAGUGAAACAUAUAUGUGUCAAGAAGUGAUUGGCUAGAAAAUAGGAUUAGGUGUCAAUGUGAAGAUUGAACCCUAAAAUGAAAUGAAAACC
rnacentral:lncRNA from 1 species